UCCAACAGACCAAAUUUAAUCCCCUUUAUCUCUCUCUUUCCUCUCUCUGCGACAUUCACCCCUUCCUCUUCUUUUUCACUUUUUCUUCUUCUUCGUUCUCUUCUCUGCGACAUUCAUCUCUCUCAAUCAAUUUAUUUAUUUUUUCAAUUUCCAUCUCCUCUUCCCCAUAACCACCGUCGGUCUUCACUUUGUUCGUCACCACCACUCUCUUUUGAUUCCGUCGAGUUCUUCACCACCAUCCCCACCGUCACGCUCAUCACCAACACCACAGAUCUGAGAUGGAGAUUUGACAGAGCGGCAUCUGCAUCUCUGGUUAAGCGUGGUGCAGCAGUGGUGCAAAAGUCGGUGGUCUGUUGGUGGUUCAUGGACGGUGGCUGAAGCUUUGUGAAGAUGGAGAUGGUGGCUGAAGAGUCGAUUAGAUUUAGAUUUCGGUUUAGUUAAUCAUGGCUGGAUGGUCAGAAGAUGAAGAAGACGGCGAAGGUGGAUGUGCGGCUGGGGGAUAGGUUUAGAUAGUAAUUAGGUUUAAUCUUUGUUUAGGUUUUAGGUUUAUUUAGUUUAAUAUUUUUAAUUUGUAAAUCAUAUUCUUAUGGUAAACCAGUUUAAUUAUAAAUUAUUUUAUUUAAUAAAAAAUUAUAUAAACAAUUUUAAAAUUUAA